UGUUCUUAUUCGCUGACAUUUGUUUUCCAAUUGCGUGAAAUUUGGUCAUUUCCUUAGUGUUUCGCUGACCGACCUGUGCUGGUAUUGUGAUUAAGAGCUAAUACACAUUUUUCGGACGAUUCUGCUGUGCUGCGUUACUGCUCCGCCUGUAUAU